GACGAAGGUGGCGAGCGUUAUUCGGAUUUACUGGGCAUAAAGCGCGCGUAGGCGGCUCGACAAGUCGGGGGUGAAAGCCCGCAGCUCAACUGCGGUGUGCCUUCGAAACUGUCGAGCUUGAGUGCAGGAGGGGUGAUUGGAACUCCAGGUGUAGCGGUGAAAUGCGUAGAUAUCUGGAGGAACACCAGAGGCGAAGGCGAAUCACUGGACUGCAACUGACGCUGAGGCGCGAAAGCUAGGGGAGCAAACAGG
rnacentral:rRNA from 1 species